GCCCAAUUUGAUAGCCAUGACGAGCCCGAUUCCAACCCACGACGUGCAGAGCAGCAAACAAUGUAGUCCACGUUCGGCCCCAUCCAGACCCACUAAGGUCCCAUGAGAUCCGACAAAACCACCCUUCUUCCCAUCUCUCUACAGAGUACAGACCAGCUGAAAUGGAAGCUCUCCCUCUCAUCACUCCUCUCUGCCUCAUUGGGAGCCACAAAACGCAGCGUUUUAGGGUUUCUCUCCAUCAAAACUACUCCCCAAAUAGGGCUUUAGCUCGCAAGUUAUUCUGGCACUGGAAGCAGGAAAGAAGUGUUGAUGGCAAAGAUAAUUAUGUGGAUUAUACUCCUUUGAUACAAGCAUUAAGCAGAAAAAGGUUGCCUCAUGUCGCUCAGGAACUCUUAUUUGAGAUGAAAUCUGAAGGUUUUCUACCUAAUAAUUCUACCUUGUCUGCUCUAAUGCUGUGUUAUGCAGAUAAUGGUUUGUUUCCUAAAGCACAGGCUUUAUGGGAUGAAAUUAUAAAUAGUUCUUUUGGGCCUAAUAUUCAAAUAGUUUCAAAACUGAUUGAUGCUUAUGGUAAGAUGGGACAUUUUGGUGAAGUUACCAGAAUUUUGCAUCAGGUAAGUUCAAGGGAUUUCAACUUUAUGCAUGAAGUUUACUCAUUGGCUAUCUCUUGCUUUGGAAAGGGUGGACAACUUGAAAUGAUGGAAAAUGCAUUAAAGGAAAUGGUCUCAAGGGGUUUUCCAGUGGACUCUGCCACUGGAAAUGCAUUUAUUAGAUAUUAUAGCAUUUUUGGUUCUCUGACGGAAAUGGAAGCUGCUUAUGACCGCCUUAAAAAGUCUAGAAUCCUCAUAGAGGAAGAAGGAAUUAGGGCAAUGUCAUUUGCAUAUAUUAAGGAAAAGAAAUAUUAUAGAUUAGGUCAGUUUCUGAGGGAUGUUGGUCUUGGUAGGAAAAAUGUGGGAAAUCUUCUGUGGAAUCUUCUUCUGCUAUCCUAUGCUGCCAAUUUUAAAAUGAAAAGCUUGCAAAGAGAAUUUCUGGAAAUGGUGGAAGCUGGAUUUGCUCCUGACCUUACUACAUUUAACAUCCGGGCUCUGGCUUUUUCUAGGAUGUCUUUGUUCUGGGAUCUCCAUCUGAGCCUUGAGCAUAUGCAACAUGUAAAAGUUGUUGCUGACCUUGUGACUUAUGGCUGUGUUGUUGACGCAUACUUGGACAGAAGACUAGGAAAGAAUUUGGAUUUUGCUUUGAAAAAGAUGAAUAUGGAUGAUUCUCCUCUAGUGUCAACAGAUCACUUUGUGUUUGAAGUUUUGGGGAAAGGAGAUUUCCACUCAAGCUCAGAGGCAUUUUUGGAGUCUAAGAGGAAUGGUAAAUGGACUUACAGGAAGUUAAUUGCAACAUAUCUCAAGAAAAAAUAUCGGAGUAACCAAAUCUUUUGGAAUUAUUGAGAAAUGGUGGAUGAAGGUUUUCUCUACCUAAUGUAUGAGAAGAAAGAUCUUAUACUUCAGUAUUUUACUGCUUAUUUUUGAAUGUCAUAUAAUCUUCAGCUUUCACUUUGGCUUAUGGCACAAGAAGGUGAGAUAACCUGGGAUAUGUGCUCUUCUAGAUACUACUUAGAGGGAGGGACAUAUUGGGACAUGGUUGAGAUGGACAAGCUGACAAUGUCAUGUUGGAGGUUAAAAUAAUCUCAGCAUCUUGAAGUUUAACAGGAUCCUUCAUUCAAAAUCAUGAAGCAAUACAGGCAGAAAAGAUACUCCAUUUGGAAGAGACUACGUCCAUACCAUGCUUUGUGAUGCCCAUGACAAUCUCCCACUUUCAUUGGAGGAUGAUGAAAGGUCAAGUGAAUAGUUCAGCUCAGAUGACCUGCCUCCUGAUGAUGCAAAGCUUCUGCAGUCCAGUUCUGAGCCAUUUGACAGCCGAGUGUUCAGGUCAGAGCUGUUUGAAAGCCUAGGGUUCAUCUCUGAGCCAAUUGACAGCCGAGUGUUCAGGUCAGAGCUGUUUGAAAGCCUAGGGUUCAUCUCUGAGCUGUUUGAAAGCCAAGGGUUCAUUCCAGUGUCCAGAUUGUCAUACGAAAACGGGAAAAUGUGAUCGAUGCUUGGCCUUCCUGAGCUUACAAAUGAUAUAUCAGUUUCUGGCACUGAGAGCUCCCCAUAAGAUUUACUUAGUGAGGCUCUACCUCUAGUGAAGGGUGACCUGUUCCACAAGUUAUCAGAAAUGAAAGAAUGGAAGGUAUAGAGCUGCAGAACCCACAUCCUUGCGCAUACAAAAGCAUCGGAAUGGAAGAAACAACUCCCUGGCCUGAUUAUCAAGUUGCUGCUUGUAAGCUCUUGCAACAUCUUCAUUGACAUCGGAAAUGGCGACCUGAUUCCCCACUGCAUCCAUGAAAAGGAGAAAAAGGAUGAAGAAACAGAGUUGUGGAAGAAAUGCAGAAUGUGAGAGACUGAUGCUAUUUAUUAGAUUUUGUCAUUAAUGUUCCUUUUUUUUUUUUUUUUUUUUUUUACACUUUUAUUAGAUGGGGUUGCCUGUAUACCAGACAACAAUAGAAGCAUAUUCUAUCUUUUUCUAUCUAAAAACAAUAUAGUGAUUUUCCAAUGCAAUGCAUUCAUUUUCUUGGAAACUGAA